UACGGAGGAUGCAAGCGUUAUCCGGAAUCAUUGGGCGUAAAGCGUCCGUAGGUGGCUGUUCAAGUCUGCGGUCAAAGCACAAGGCUUAACCCUGGAAAGGCGGUGGAAACUGAAGCGCUAGAGUGUGGUAGGGGUAGAGGGAAUUCCCGGUGUAGCGGUGAAAUGCGUAGAGAUCGGGAAGAACAUCGGUGGCGAAGGCGCUCUACUGGACCACAACUGACACUCAGGGACGAAAGCUAGGGGAGCGAAUGGG
rnacentral:rRNA from 1 species